AUUAGACGAAUCAUCUGGAAAGAUGAAUCAAAGAAGGUAAUAAUCCUGUAGUCGAAAAUGUUGUCUCUCUUGAGUGGAUCCUGAGUACGACGGAGCACGUGAAAUUCCGUCGGAAUCUGGGAGGACCAUCUCCUAAGGCUAAAUACUCUCUAGUGACCGAUAGUGAACCAGUACCGUGAGGGAAAGGUGAAAAGCACCCCGGAAGGGGAGUGAAAUAGAACCUGAAACCGUGUGCUUACAAGUAGUCAGAGCCCGUUAAUGGGUGAUGGCGUGCCUUUUGUAGAAUGAACCGGCGAGUUACGAUUUGAUGCAAGGUUAAGCAGUAAAUGUGGAGCCGUAGCGAAAGCGAGUCUGAAUAGGGCGUUUAGUAUUUGGUCGUAGACCCGAAACCAGGUGAUCUACCCUUGGUCAGGUUGAAGUUCAGGUAACACUGAAUGGAGGACCGAACCGACUUACGUUGAAAAGUGAGCGGAUGAACUGAGGGUAGCGGAGAAAUUCCAAUCGAACCUGGAGAUAGCUGGUUCUCUCCGAAAUAGCUUUAGGGCUAGCCUCAAGUGAUGAUUAUUGGAGGUAGAGCACUGUUUGGACGAGGGGCCCCUCUCGGGUUACCGAAUUCAGACAAACUC
rnacentral:rRNA from 1 species